rnacentral:rRNA from 1 species
CAGUCGCCACGGGAAUACAGAGGGUGCGAGCGUUAAUCGGAUUUACUGGGCGUAAAGCGUGCGUAGGCGGCUUCUUAAGUCGGAUGUGAAAUCCCUGAGCUUAACUUAGGAAUUGCAUUCGAUACUGGGAAGCUAGAGUAUGGGAGAGGAUGGUAGAAUUCCAGGUGUAGCGGUGAAAUGCGUAGAGAUCUGGAGGAAUACCGAUGGCGAAGGCAGCCAUCUGGCCUAAUACUGACGCUCAGGUGCGAAAGCGUGGGGAGCAAACAGGAUUAGAUACCCCUGUAGUCCCUGUCUCUUAUAA